UAACAAGGAUUCCCCUAGUAACGGCGAGUGAAGAGGGAAGAGCCCAAGAUUGAAAGCUGGCGUCUUCGACGUCCGCAUUGUAAUCUCAAGAAGUGUUUUCCGCUUCGGACCAUGCCUAAGUCCCUUGGAAAAGGGCAUCAUAGAGGGUGAUAAUCCCGUACAUGGCAUGGAGCGCCCGAGGCUUUGUGAUACGCUUUCUAAGAGUCGAGUUGUUUGGGAAUGCAGCUCAAAAUGGGUGGUAAAUGCCAUCUAAGGCUAAAUAUUGGGGAGAGACCGAUAGCGAACAAGUACAGUGAUGGAAAGAUGAAAAGAACUUUGAAAAGAGAGUUAAACAGUACGUGAAAUUGCCAAAAGGGAAGGGUAGGAGGUCAGAGAUGCGUCUUGGGAUUCAGCCUUGCUUUUGCUUGGUGUUUUUCCCAAGUUGCAGGCCAACGUCGGUUUUGGGCACUGGAGAAGGGUGGAAGGAACGUGGCACCUCUCGGGGUGUGUUAUAGCCUUCCACUGGAUACAGCGACCGAGACCGAGGACAGCAGCGUACUCGCAAGAGCGGGCCUUCGGGCACCUUUACGCUUAGGGCGUUGGCAUAAU
rnacentral:rRNA from 2 species